GCGCUUUUAGCUCAGUUGGAUAGAGCAUUCGCCUCCUAAGCGAAAGGCCGGCCGUUCAAGUCGGGCAAGGCGCG
rnacentral:tRNA from 1 species